rnacentral:misc_RNA from 1 species
AACGCACAUUGCGCCCCUUGGUAUUCCAUGGGGCAUGCCUGUUCGAGCGUCAUUUGUACCCUCAAGCUUUGCUUGGUGUUGGGCGUCUUGUCUCUUCUUUGUGAUUAGACUCGCCUUAAAGUCAUUGGCAGCCAGUGUUUUUGGUAGUAAGCGCAGCACAUUUUGCGUCUUGGCCCUAAAACACUUGCGUCCAUUAAGCUACUUUCUCACUUUUGACCUCGGAUCAGGUAGGGAUACCCGCUGAACUUAA